rnacentral:rRNA from 1 species
AUGAAAAGCACUUUGAAAAGAGGGUGAAAAGAACCUGAAACCGUCACGGGGGAAGCGGAUUGCGUUGGCCUGGUGGGCGCCUGUGUGUUCAGCCUUUUUGGGUGCAUUGACACAGGUGCUUAUCCGCCGUGGGUUUUCGGGGGCCGAUUUUGGGUCCCCGGAGGCUGAGGGCUCCCUUCGGGUGAGGACGGCGGAGUGACGACGCGAUACGACCCGUCUUGAAACACGGACCAAGGAGUCUAGCGCGGGUGCGAGUCGGAGGGUGCAAGCCCGUGGGCGAAGUGAAAGCGAGUUUUAAAAACGAGCAGUUUGGGGCGGCAUAAGAUCGUUGAUCUUAAGACCGACCCAGAGCAGUUGCGCUGGGACCCGAAAGAUGGUGAACUAUGCCGGAGUAGGGCAAAGCCAGAGGAAACUCUGGUGGAGGCUCGUAGCGGUGCUGACGUGCAAAUCGCUCGUCCAACUUGGGUAUAGGGGCGAAAGACUAAUCGAACCAUCUAGUAGCUGGUUCCCUCCGAAGUUUCUCUCAGGAUAGCGGGCCGACAAGUUGUUUUGUGC